CAGCAGCCGCGGUAAUACGAAGGGGGCUAGCGUUGUUCGGAUUUACUGGGCGUAAAGGGCGCGUAGGCGGGCGAAUAAGUCAGGGGUGAAAUCCCAAGGCUCAACCUUGGAACUGCCUUUGAUACUGUUUGUCUUGAGUUCGAGAGAGGUAAGUGGAACUGCGAGUGUAGAGGUGAAAUUCGUAGAUAUUCGCAAGAACACCAGUGGCGAAGGCGGCUUACUGGCUCGAAACUGACGCUGAGGCGCGAAAGCGUGGGGAGCAAACAGGAUUAGAUACCCCUGUAGUCCCUGUCUCUUAUAC
rnacentral:rRNA from 1 species